rnacentral:rRNA from 1 species
UGGGGAAUAUUGCACAAUGGGCGCAAGCCUGAUGCAGCCAUGCCGCGUGUAUGAAGAAGGCCUUCGGGUUGUAAAGUACUUUCAGCGGGGAGGAAGGCGAUAAGGUUAAUAACCUUGUCGAUUGACGUUACCCGCAGAAGAAGCACCGGCUAACUCCGUGCCAGCAGCCGCGGUAAUACGGAGGGUGCAAGCGUUAAUCGGAAUUACAGGGCGUAAAGCGCACGCAGGCGGUCUGUCAAGUCGGAUGUGAAAUCCCCGGGCUCAACCUGGGAACUGCAUUCGAAACUGGCAGGCUAGAGUCUUGUAGAGGGGGGUAGAAUUCCAGGUGUAGCGGUGAAAUGCGUAGAGAUCUGGAGGAAUACCGGUGGCGAAGGCGGCCCCCUGGACAAAGACUGACGCUCAGGUGCGAAAGCGUGGGGAGCAAACA